CCCUACGGGGGGCUGCAGUGGGGAAUAUUGGACAAUGGGGGCAACCCUGAUCCAGCCAUGCCGCGUGUGUGAAGAAGGCCCUCGGGUUGUAAAGCACUUUCAGUGAGGAAGAACGCCUGGUGGUUAAUACCCAUCAGGAAAGACAUCACUCACAGAAGAAGCACCGGCUAACUCCGUGCCAGCAGCCGCGGUAAUACGGAGGGUGCGAGCGUUAAUCGGAAUUACUGGGCGUAAAGCGCGCGUAGGUGGCUUGAUAAGCCGGUUGUGAAAGCCCCGGGCUCAACCUGGGAACGGCAUCCGGAACUGUCAAGCUAGAGUGCAGGAGAGGAAGGUAGAAUUCCCGGUGUAGCGGUGAAAUGCGUAGAGAUCGGGAGGAAUACCAGUGGCGAAGGCGGCCUUCUGGACUGACACUGACACUGAGGUGCGAAAGCGUGGGUAGCAAACAGGAUUAGAUACCCCAGUAGUC
rnacentral:rRNA from 1 species